AGUGAACGCUGGCGGUAGGCCUAACACAUGCAAGUCGAACGGCAGCACAGUAAGAGCUUGCUCUUACGGGUGGCGAGUGGCGGACGGGUGAGGAAUACAUCGGAAUCUACUUUUUCGUGGGGGAUAACGUAGGGAAACUUACGCUAAUACCGCAUACGACCUACGGGUGAAAGCAGGGGAUCUUCGGACCUUGCGCGAUUGAAUGAGCCGAUGUCGGAUUAGCUAGUUGGCGGGGUAAAGGCCCACCAAGGCGACGAUCCGUAGCUGGUCUGAGAGGAUGAACAGCCACACUGGAACUGAGACACGGUCCAGACUCCUACGGGAGGCAGGAGUGGGGAAUAUUUGACAAUUGGCGCAAGCCUGAUCCAAGCAUACCGCGUGGGUUGAGGAGGCCUUCCGGUUGUAAAGCCCUUUUUUUGGGAAAGAAAAGCAGCAGGUUAAUACCCCGCUGGUCUGACGGGAACCAAAGAAUAAGCACCGGCUAACUUCGUG
rnacentral:rRNA from 1 species